rnacentral:rRNA from 1 species
UACGGAGGGUGCAAGCGUUGUUCGGAAUCAUUGGGCGUAAAGCGCGUGUAGGCGGCUUGGCAAGUCGGUUGUGAAAGCCCGGGGCCCAACCCCGGAAUUGCAUCUGAAACUGCCUCGCUAGAGUCCCGGAGAGGAAGGCAGAAUUCCCGGUGUAGGGGUGAGAUCCGUAGAUAUCGGGAGGAAUACCAGCGGCGAAGGCGGCCUUCUGGACGGUGACUGACGCUGAGACGCGAAAGCGUGGGGAGCAAACAGG